rnacentral:lncRNA from 1 species
UUAAUGGGCUUUGUUUCAGAUUUUAUCAUCAUUAAUAAAAUGUUAUUUCGUUUAUCCAUAUUAUGUUUUUCCUUUUUCACUUUUUUUGGAAAAAUGGUAACAUAAAAAAGCAAGAUAAUAAUCACUUUUAUAUCUGCAUCGCAAUGUGUGUUUAUUUUUUCAUAUUCUAAAAUCAAGCAUAAAAUCAUUGUGCAAAUUAAUUAUUAAACCCAUUGAAAACAAUGACCUUAUGCC